GAUGAACGCUGGCGGCGUGCCUAAUACAUGCAAGUCGAGCGAACAGACGAGGAGCUUGCUCCUCUGACGUUAGCGGCGGACGGGUGAGUAACACGUGGAUAACCUACCUAUAAGACUGGGAUAACUUCGGGAAACCGGAGCUAAUACCGGAUAACAUGUUGAACCGCAUGGUUCAACAGUGAAAGACGGUCUUGCUGUCACUUAUAGAUGGAUCCGCGCCGCAUUAGCUAGUUGGUAAGGUAACGGCUUACCAAGGCAACGAUGCGUAGCCGACCUGAGAGGGUGAUCGGCCACACUGGAACUGAGACACGGUCCAGACUCCUACGGGAGGCAGCAGUAGGGAAUCUUCCGCAAUGGGCGAAAGCCUGACGGAGCAACGCCGCGUGAGUGAAGAAGGUCUUCGGAUCGUAAAACUCUGUUAUUAGGGAAGAACAAAUGUGUAAGUAACUAUGCACGUCUUGACGGUACCUAAUCAGAAAGCCACAGCUAACUACGUG
rnacentral:rRNA from 1 species